CUUAUCUCCCCCAAGAGUUCACAUCGACGGGGAGGUUUGGCACCUCGAUGUCGGCUCAUCGCAUCCUGGGGCUGGAGCAGGUCCCAAGGGUUUGGCUGUUCGCCAAUUAAAGCGGUACGCGAGCUGGGUUCAAAACGUCGUGAGACAGUUUGGUCCCUAUCUGCUGUGGGCGUAGGAUACUUGAGAGGCUCUGACCUUAGUACGAGAGGACCGGGUUGGAGACACCUCUGGUGUACCAGUUAUCACGCCAGUGGUAUCGCUGGGUAGCCAAGUGUCGAUUGGAUAACCGCUGAAAGCAUCUAAGCGGGAAACCGACCUCAAGACCAGGUAUCCCGGGCGCAAGCCCCUGAAGAGCCGUCGAAGACUACGACGUUGAUAGGCCGGGUGUGUAAGCGCGGUAACGCGUUGAGCUAACCGGUACUAAUUGCUCGUGCGGCUUACUUUAU
rnacentral:rRNA from 1 species